rnacentral:rRNA from 1 species
GAUCAUGGCUCAGGAUGAACGCUAGCGACAGGCUUAACACAUGCAAGUCGAGGGGCAGCACGGGAGUAGCAAUACAACUGGUGGCGACCGGCGCACGGGUGAGUAACGCGUAUGCAACCUACCUAUCAGAGGGGAAUAACCCGGCGAAAGUCGGACUAAUACCGCAUAAAACAGGGGCACCGCAUGGUGAUAUUUGUUAAAGAGAUUCGCUGAUAGAUGGGCAUGCGUUCCAUUAGGUAGUUGGUGAGGUAACGGCUCACCAAGCCGACGAUGGAUAGGGGAACUGAGAGGUUGGUCCCCCACACUGGUACUGAGACACGGACCAGACUCCUACGGGAGGCAGCAGUGAGGAAUAUUGGUCAAUGGGCGGGAGCCUGAACCAGCCAAGUCGCGUGAAGGAAAGAAGGAUCUAUGGUUCGUAAACUUCUUUUGCAGGGGAAUAAAGUGCAGGACGUGUCCUGUUUUGUAUGUACCCUGAGAAUAAGGAUCGGCUAACUCCGUGCCAGCAGCAGC